UACGUAGGGUGCGAGCGUUAAUCGGAAUUACUGGGCGUAAAGCGUGGGCAGGCGGUUUUGUAAGCCAGAUGUGAAAUCCCCGGGCUUAACCUGGGAAUGGCAUUUGGGACUGCAAGGCUGGAGUGCGGCAGAGGAGACUGGAAUUCCUGGUGUAGCAGUGAAAUGCGUAGAUAUGCGGAGGAACACCGAUGGCGAAGGCAAUCCCCUGGGCCUGCACUGACGCUCAUGCACGAAAGCGUGGGGAGCAAACAGG
rnacentral:rRNA from 1 species